UACGGGGGGGGGUAAGCGUUGUUCGGAAUUACUGGGCGUAAAGGGCUCGUAGGCGGCCAACUAAGUCAGACGUGAAAUCCCUCAGCUUAACUGGGGAACUGCGUCUGAUACUGGAUGGCUUGGAUUCGGGAGAGGAAUGCGGAAUUCCAGGUGUAGCGGUGAAAUGCGUAGAUAUCGAGAGGAACACCUGCGGCGAAGGCGGCAUCCUGGACCGACACUGACACUGAGGAGCGAAAGCCAGGGGAGCAAACGGG
rnacentral:rRNA from 1 species